AUUGAACGCUGGCGGCAGGCCUAACACAUGCAAGUCGAACGGUAGCACAGAGGAGCUUGCUCCUUGGGUGACGAGUGGCGGACGGGUGAGUAAUGUCUGGGAAACUGCCCGAUGGAGGGGGAUAACUACUGGAAACGGUAGCUAAUACCGCAUAACGUCUUCGGACCAAAGUGGGGGACCUUCGGGCCUCACACCAUCGGAUGUGCCCAGAUGGGAUUAGCUAGUAGGUGGGGUAAUGGCCCACCUAGGCGACGAUCCCUAGCUGGUCUGAAAGGAUGACAAGCCACACGGGAACGAGGAAAGGGUCCAGACUCCUAAGGGAGGCAGCAGUGGGGAAUAUUGCACAAUGGGCGCAAGCCUGAUGCAGCCAUGCCGCGUGUAUGAAGAAGGCCUUCGGGUUGUAAAGUACUUUCAGCGGGGAGGAAGGCGUUAAGGUUAAUAACCUGGCGAUUGACGUUACCCGCAGAAGAAGCACCGGCUAACUCCGUGCCAGCCGCCGCAGUAA
rnacentral:rRNA from 1 species